CAAGGAAUUUUCCGCAAUGGGCGCAAGCCUGACGGAGCGACGCCGCGUGGGGGAUGACGCAUUUCGGUGUGUAAACCCCUUUUCUGGGGGAAGAAGAGAGUGACGGUACCCCAGGAAGAAGGACCGGCUAACUACGUGCCAGCAGCCGCGGUAAGACGUAGGGUCCGAGCGUUGUCCGGAGUUACUGGGCGUAAAGGGCGCGUAGGCGGCUUCUUGCGUCCCACGUGAAAGCCCCUGGCUCAACCAGGGAGGGUCGUGGGAAACGGGGAAGCUGGAGGCAGCGAGAGGCUGGUGGAAUUCCCGGAGUAGUGGUGAAAUGCGUAGAGAUCGGGAGGAACACCGGUGGCGAAGGCGGCCAGCUGGCGCUGACCUGACGCUGAGGCGCGAAGGCGUGGGGAGCGAACG
rnacentral:rRNA from 1 species